UACAGAGGUCCCAAGCGUUGUUCGGAUUCACUGGGCGUAAAGCGCGUGUAGGCUGCUUCGCAAGUCGGGUGUGAAAGCCCUGGGCUCAACCUAGGAAGUGCACUCGAAACUGCGAAGCUGGAGUCCUGGAGAGGAAGGCGGAAUUCUCGGUGUAGAGGUGAAAUUCGUAGAUAUCGAGAGGAACACCGGUGGCGAAGGCGGCCUUCUGGACAGUGACUGACGCUGAGACGCGAAAGCGUGGGUAGCAAACAGG
rnacentral:rRNA from 1 species